UACAGCCACAUCACGUUGAAACACCGGUACCCGUAGAUCAGCGAAGUUAAGCAAUAUCGAGCCUGGUCAAUAGCUAGAUGGGUGACCACUUAGGAAUACUGGGGUCUG